UCGGGAAUUUUGGGCAAUGGGCGAAAGCCUGACCCAGCAACGCCGCGUGAGGGAUGAAGUAUUUCGGUAUGUAAACCUCGAAAGAAUGGGAAGAAUAAAUGACGGUACCAUUUAUAAGCUCCGGCUAACUACGUGCCAGCAGCCGCGGUAAUACGCAGGGAGCAAGCGUUGUUUGGAUUUACUGGGCGUAAAGGGCGCGUAGGCGGCGCGGUAAGUCACUUGUGAAAUCUCUGAGCUUAACUCAGAACGGCCAAGUGAUACUGCUGGGCUAGAGUGCGGAAGAGGCAACCGGAAUUCUUGGUGUAGCGGUGAAAUGCGUAGAUAUCAAGAGGAACACCUGAGGCGAAGGCGGGUUGCUGGGCCGACACUGACGCUGAUGCGCGAAAGCCAGGGGAGCAAACG
rnacentral:rRNA from 1 species